UGAUACAUUUCUUUAUGGUGG
rnacentral:siRNA from 1 species